UCCAGUCUGGGCUCCGGGUCCUGUCGGCCGCCAUUAAUUGUCAUGUCUCGUUUGUCGCCAUUCGUCAUGUCAUUUUAUUUUGUUAGUAGAGGAGCAAGUGUGUCGCGAUUUUCUUUUUCUGGCCAUCCGCAUUUUCUUCAAAUGUCAAAUCAAAAGUUCCUGUAACCUGAUCAAGUGAUCGAAUUUAUUGUGGCCUCGUGUGGGCGAGCCGUUGCAACUUGGUGCUGCUGGUAUGAAAAAUGAAGUGGCCAGUACCAACACGACAGUUUUCGAUUUAUAGAUGAUGGAGAGGAGUUCGUCUAAACUUUUCCACCACUUUGUUUCUAAGAUUGAACAGUUUGGAUGAACCUUAAUGUUCAGAUUCUGUUGAAAUGCUGAAAUCUCUGUUCAGAGAUCAUUACAUUCUGUUGGCCUAUCUAUCACUACCGGUUACCACUUUCAACAAUUUCAUACCUUGGAUACCUUGGACCAAACACAGUGAAAUUGAGCAAAACUAUUGUCACUACCUGAAUGGAAUUUUUACUACCAUCCAGUAGUUCUUCACUCUCCAGUCUGAGGCAUGAACUUUGUAAAAUUCAUUAUAUUUUA